AUACGUAGGGUGCUAGCGUUAUCCGGAUUUACUGGGCGUAAAGGGUGCGUAGGUGGUCUUUCAAGUCGGUGGUUAAAGGCUACGGCUCAACCGUAUUAAGCCGCCGAAACUGGAAGACUUGAGUGCAGGAGAGGAAAGAGGAAUUCUCAGUGUAGCGGUGAAAUGCGUAGAUAUUGAGAAGAACACCAGUAGCGAAGGCGGCUUUCUGGACUGUAACUGACACUGAGGCACGAAAGCGUGGGUAGCAAACAGGAUUAGAUACCCUGGUAGUCCACGCCGUAAACGAUGAGUAUUAGGUGUCGGGGGUUACCCCCCUCGGUGCCGCAGUUAACGCAUUAAAUACUCCGCCUGGGGAGUACGCACGCAAGUGUGAAACUCAAAGGAAUUGACGGGG
rnacentral:rRNA from 1 species